AGAUACCCCUGUAGUCCUAGCCGUAAACGAUACUCGCUAGGUGUCGGCCACGGUGCGACCGUUGUCGGUGCCGUAGGGAAGCCGUGAAGCGAGCCACCUGGGAAGUACGGCCGCAAGGCUGAAACUUAAGGAAUUGGCGGGGAGCACAACAACGGGUGGAGCUUGCGGUUUAAUUGGAUUCAACGCCGGAAAUCUUACCGGGACCGACAGCAACAUGAAGGCCAAGCUGAAGACUUUGCCGGAUUUAGCUG
rnacentral:rRNA from 1 species